UUGUAACCAUCUAGUAACCAUACC
rnacentral:piRNA from 1 species